rnacentral:rRNA from 1 species
UACGUAGGGCGCAAGCGUUGUCCGGAAUUAUUGGGCGUAAAGAGCUCGUAGGCGGUCUGUUACGUCCGCUGUGAAAACCCAGGGCUUAACCCUGGGCUUGCAGUGGAUACGGGUAGACUAGAGGCAGGUAGGGGAGAAUGGAAUUCCCGGUGUAGCGGUGAAAUGCGCAGAUAUCGGGAGGAACACCGGUGGCGAAGGCGGUUCUCUGGGCCUGACCUGACGCUGAGACGCGAAAGCGUGGGGAGCGAACAGG